rnacentral:rRNA from 1 species
CCCUUAGAUGUUCUGAACCGCACGCGUGUUACACUGAUGCAUUCAACGAGCUUUACCUUGGCCGAGAGGCCUGGGAAAUCUUUUUAGCAUGCAUCGUGAUAGGGAUUGAUUAUUGCAAUUAUUAAUCAUGAACGAGGAAUUCCUAGUAAACGCAUUUCAUCAAAAUGCAUUGAUUACGUCCCUGCCCUUUGUACACACCGCCCGUCGCACCUACCGAUUGAGUGGUCCGGUGAAAUCUCCGGACUGGCGUGAGUCGGAGCAAUCUGACAAACGCCGGAAAGUUGAUUAAACCUUACCAUUUAGAGGAAGGUGAAGUCGUAACA